rnacentral:piRNA from 1 species
UGGAGCUUUAUCCCUUUGUCCUAGCCAAC